rnacentral:rRNA from 1 species
AUUGAACGCUGGCGGCGUGCUUAACACAUGCAAGUCGAACGAAGGGGCGAACGGGUGAGUAACGCGUAAUCAACCUGCCCUUCAGGGGGGGACAACAGUUGGAAGCGACUGAUAAUACCGCAUACUGAAGGAGGGGAUUGCGUUUGAUUAGCUAGUUGGCGGGGAAACGGCCCACCAAGGCGAAGAUCAGUAGCCUGUCCGAGGGGAUGAACCGCCACAAUGGGACUGAGACACGGCCCAGGCUCCUACGGGAGGCAGCAGUGGGGAAACUUCCGCAAAGGACGAAAGUCUGACGGAGCAACGCCGGGUGAGUGAUGACGGCCUUCGGGUUGGAAAGCUCUGUUAAUCGGGACGCGGUACCGGAAUAGAAAGCACCGGCUAACUACGUGCCAGCAGCCGCGGUAAUUC